rnacentral:rRNA from 1 species
GACGAACGCUGGCGGCGUGCUUAACACAUGCAAGUCGAACGGAAAGGCCCUGCUUUUGUGGGGUACUCGAGUGGCGAACGGGUGAGUAACACGUGAGUAACCUGCCCUUGACUUUGGGAUAACUUCAGGAAACUGGGGCUAAUACCGGAUAGGAGCUCCUGCUGCAUGGUGGGGGUUGGAAAGUUUCGGCGGUUGGGGAUGGACUCGCGGCUUAUCAGCUUGUUGGUGGGGUAGUGGCUUACCAAGGCUUUGACGGGUAGCCGGCCUGAGAGGGUGACCGGCCACAUUGGGGCUGAGAUACGGCCCAGACUCCUACGGGAGGCAGCAGUGGGGAAUAUUGCACAAUGGGCGGAAGCCUGAUGCAGCAACGCCGCGUGCGGGAUGACGGCCUUCGGGUUGUAAACCGCUUUCGCCUGUGACGAAGCGUGAGUGACGGUAAUGGGUAAAGAAGCACCGGCUAACUACGUG